rnacentral:rRNA from 1 species
GACGAACGCUGGCGGCGUGCCUAAUACAUGCAAGUAGAACGCACAGUUUAUACCGUAGCUUGCUACACCAUAGACUGUGAGUUGCGAACGGGUGAGUAACGCGUAGGUAACCUGCCUGGUAGCGGGGGAUAACUAUUGGAAACGAUAGCUAAUACCGCAUAAUAUUAAUUAUUGCAUGAUAAUUAAUUGAAAGGUGCAAUUGCACCACUACCAGAUGGACCUGCGUUGUAUUAGCUAGUAGGAGAGGUAACGGCUCACCUAGGCGACGAUACAUAGCCGACCUGAGAAGGGGGUCGGCCACACUGGGACUGGGACACGGCCCCGACUCCUACGGGAGGCAGCAGUAGGGGAUCUUCGGCAAUGGACGAAAGUCUGACCGAGCAACGCCGCGUGGGUGAAGAAGGUUUUCGGAUCGUAAAGCUCUGUUGUAAGAGAAGAACGGGUGUGAGAGUGGAAAAUUCACACUGUGACGGUAUCUUACCAGAAAGGGACGGCUAACUACGUG